rnacentral:tRNA from 1 species
GCCCCCCUGGCGGAACUGGCAGACGCGCUAGCUUCAGGAGCUAGUGGGAGAAAUCCUGUAGAGGUUCAAAUCCUCUGGGGGGCA